UACGUAGGGGGCAAGCGUUGUCCGGAAUUAUUGGGCGUAAAGAGCUCGUAGGCGGUCUGUCGCGUCGGCUGUGAAAACCUGCAGCUUAACUGUGGGCUUGCGGUCGAUACGGGCAUCACUGGAGUUCGGCAGGGGAGACUGGAAUUCCUGGUGUAGCGGUGAAAUGCGCAGAUAUCAGGAGGAACACCGGUGGCGAAGGCGGGUCUCUGGGCCGAUACUGACGCUGAGGAGCGAAAGCGUGGGGAGCGAACAGG
rnacentral:rRNA from 1 species